AUAACAUGCAUCAUGAGACAUCAUAUUGAAUGUGACUAGUUAACUCAUUCAUAACUAAGAUAAACAGGUACAUCGUACAUACUCAAAGUUGAUCCCUGAUGUAAACCCACUGUAAUAGAAAACUCGUCUGUAUACCCUUCCAUUGUUCUUAUUGAACCCUUUAUAAGCAUAAUAAAUGAAAUAUCCACAAGACAAAAAAGUAAUAUAAUUUUAUAUUUUAAUAAGUUAUUUAAAAAUUUAACUAAUUAAAAAAUAAAUAUUACAAUUAAA
rnacentral:misc_RNA from 1 species